UAGGGAAUCUUCGGCAAUGGACGAAAGUCUGACCGAGCAACGCCGCGUGAGUGAAGAAGGUUUUCGGAUCGUAAAACUCUGUUGUUAGAGAAGAACAAGGACGUUAGUAACUGAACGUCCCCUGACGGUAUCUAACCAGAAAGCCACGGCUAACUACGUGCCAGCAGCCGCGGUAAUACGUAGGUGGCAAGCGUUGUCCGGAUUUAUUGGGCGUAAAGCGAGCGCAGGCGGUUUCUUAAGUCUGAUGUGAAAGCCCCCGGCUCAACCGGGGAGGGUAAUUGGAAACGGGGGGACUGGAGGGAAGAAGAGGGGGGUGGAAUUCCAUGUGUGGCGGUGAAAGGCGUGGAAAUAUGGAGGAACACAGUGGCGAAGGCGGCUCUCUGGUCUGUAACUGACGCUGAGGCUCGAAAGCGUGGGGAGCAAACAGG
rnacentral:rRNA from 1 species